AGCAGUUCUUGUAGCAUCACUUGC
rnacentral:siRNA from 1 species